AUUUCUGUGGUCGUGUAAUUUAAGUAUUCCCAGGAAGACACGCUGGUGGAUACAAGACAGAAAAGUGACCCAAAACAGCCAUAGAGCAAAUGCAUCCUCCCACAGUGCUUCUGUUUGCUGCAAGGAGCGCAUGGCUGGAUAUGUAUAAAUCACAGCCCCAUUUAUGUGGAGGAAGACUGUAAAGAAAGCUUAAGCUCAUCCAGACCACUGCUGAAGGUUCUGUGUGGGGGGGAAAUGCUCACCAAGCUGCAGGAAACCAUCAAAUAACCCAAAGGAAACACAGAUGCCGGCUGAUUUAACGUGUCCCCAUUUGCAGUCUAUAAAUACCUCUGUGGUGAGCUCUGAAGAUCUCAGUUUAUCUGUGACGGGGAAAUGCAGGCAGAAAGCAGCCUCACAGACAAAUGGAAUGGAUUUCACAGCACCGCCAUUUGUUGCCUCUCCUUCCGCUGUGCCGCUUACACCACGGAAACAGCCCUGCAGCCCUAAUGGGAAACCUGUCCUACCCGGGCUCUAUGGCUUUAGGAAGGAUAUCGUCGGUGCUGUUGUGGCUUCAGUGCUCAACCACAGCUCCGGGUGUCAGAGCGUGCAGCAGGUGUUCUUUUUCCAGAGGUCAGUGGAAGUCCCGUUCUCUCAAGGCAGCAGCACACUGAGAAUCAUUGCUGUGCUUUUCAGAGGUAUUUUAAAGGUCAACACAUAGAAAGAAGAUCAGCAUUAAGUACUUUUGUCAUCUUAAUCAACCCCUGGAAACCAGCAAAAGCAAUGCCUACAGGCAAAUAGCAAUCUGAUAAUUUUUUUUUCCUGAGAAAUGUCUCCUGAAAUAAAGAAGAUAGAGAUGUGAGUUGUUUCUAAAUCUAUAUUGUUGAAUUGCCUUUAACCCAAUUCAUAUCAUUCAAGAUUUUUUUCCUGCAUAAAAAGUCAUGGACAACCAUAUAGAGUCAUAGAAUCACAUGGCUAAUUGGUUACCCAAAGCACAGUCCUUUAGUCCUUUUAGAACAAAUACAUCACUGGCUGCAUCCCCUGCAGCAAGCAGUGC
ensembl:lncRNA